UACGGAGGGUGCGAGCGUUGUCCGGAAUCACUGGGCGUAAAGGGCGCGUAGGCGGCCUGAUAAGUAGGGGGUGAAAUCCUGCGGCUUAACCGCAGGGCUGCCUUCUAAACUGUCAGGCUAGAGCACAGUAGAGGCAGGUGGAAUUCCCGGUGUAGCGGUGGAAUGCGUAGAGAUGUGGAGGAAUACCGAUGGCGAAGGCAGCCCCCUGGGAUAACACUGACGCUCAUGCACGAAAGCGUGGGGAGCAAACGGG
rnacentral:rRNA from 1 species